rnacentral:rRNA from 1 species
GUAGUUAGCCGGGGCUUUCUUACAGGGUACCGUCACUUCUUCGUCCCCUGCGACAGAGGUUUACAAUCCGAAAACCUUCUUCCCUCACGCGGCGUUGCUGGGUCAGGCUUGCGCCCAUUGCCCAAUAUUCCCCACUGCUGCCUCCCGUAGGAGUCUGGACCGUGUCUCAGUUCCAGUGUGGCCGAUCAGCCUCUCAGCUCGGCUACCCAUCGCGGACUAGGUGGGCCGUUACCCCGCCUACUAUCUAAUGGGACGCGAGCCCCUCCUUCUGCGGAUUGCUCCUUUGACCUCUCUGCCAUGCGACAGUGUGGUCUUAUGCGGUAUUAGCGACCGUUUCCGGUCGUUAUCCCCCUCUUAAAGGCAGAUUGCUCACGCGUUACUCACCCGUCCGCCACUAGGUUAAGAAUUCCUGUUCCGAAGAACCAUUCCAAAAUAACCCCGUUCGACCUUGCAUGUGUUAGGCACGCCGCCAGCGUUCAUCCUGAGCCAUGAUCAAACUCUGA